GACAGAGGGUGCAAACGUUGUUCGGAAUUACUGGGCGUAAAGCGCGUGUAGGCGGCCCUGCAAGUCGGAUGUGAAAUCCCACGGCUCAACCGUGGAAGUGCAUUCGAAACUGCAGGGCUAGAGUCCUGGAGAGGAAGGUGGAAUGCUUGGUGUAGAGGUGAAAUUCGUAGAUAUCAAGCGGAACACCGGUGGCGAAGGCGGCCUUCUGGACAGUGACUGACGCUGAGACGCGAAAGCGUGGGGAGCAAACGGG
rnacentral:rRNA from 1 species